AGAGUUUGAUCAUGGCUCAGAAUCAACGCUGGCGGCGUGCCUAACACAUGCAAGUCGAACGAGAAAGGGGAGCAAUCCCUGAGUAAAGUGGCGCACGGGUGAGUAACACGUGACUAACCUACCCUGGAGUGGGGGAUAACUGAGGGAAACCUUAGCUAAUACCGCAUAAUACCCACGGGUCAAAGGAGCAAUUCGCUUCAGGAGGGGGUCGCGGCCGAUUAGUUAGUUGGCGGGGUAAUGGCCCACCAAGACGAUGAUCGGUAUCCGGCUGAGAGGGCGCACGGACACACUGGAACUGAAACACGGUCCAGACUCCUACGGGAGGCAGCAGUGGGGAAUUUUGCGCAAUGGGGGGAAACCCUGACGCAGCAACGCCCGCGUGGAGAUGAAGUACUUCGGUACGUAAACUCCUUUUCGAUCGGGACGAUAAUGACGGUACCGAGAGAAGAAGCCCCGGCUAACUUCGUGCCAGCAGCCGCGGUAAUACGAGGGGGGCGAGCGUUGUUCGGAAUUAUUGGGCGUAAAGGGUGCGUAGGCGGUUUGGUAAGUCUGAUGUGAAAUCUAUGGGCUCAACUCAUAGUCUGCAUCGGAAACUGCCGGGCUUGAGUGUGGGAGAGGUGAGUGGAAUUUCCGGUGUAGCGGUGAAAUGCGUAGAUAUCGGAAGGAACCCUGUGGCGAAAGCGGCUCACUGGACCACAACUGACGCUGAUGCACGAAAGCUAGGGGAGCAAACAGGAUUAGAUACCCUAGUAGUCC
rnacentral:rRNA from 1 species